UGAGAUGUAGCUUAAAAGGUAGAGCAUCGCUCUCAUAAGGCGAAAGAUUCAGAUUCGACUCCUUACAUCUCAA
rnacentral:tRNA from 1 species